GGAGAUCGAAUCAGAGGAUCAAAUUUGAGAGAGAUUGUAACCCAAAAUCAUCAAACAAAAAUAUUAUUUUAUGCAUGUUGUUCUUGUCUCUUUCGUUUCAGGAAAAUUUCGUGUUUACAAAUUGGCAUGCCCAGUGGGACCAUCUCUACCUCUCAUCUCUUUCUCCGUUCAAGAAAUCCAAACACACCUCAAAGUCAAUGGCAUCAAGAAAGGGACAAGCCGUUCUCGCAACCACUGAGGGAAGGAUCCUAAGCA
rnacentral:lncRNA from 1 species